UCGUACAAUUAGGGAUUAAUAGUACUCGUGAUGUUUGGAAAUUUGCAAAAUUUACAAACAUCACUUGUACUAUUAAUCCCUAAUUGUACUCGC